UACGUAGGGUGCAAGCGUUGUCCGGAAUUAUUGGGCGUAAAGAGCUUGUAGGCGGUUUGUCGCGUCUGCUGUGAAAUUUCGGGGCUCAACCCCGAACUUGCAGUGGGUACGGGCAGACUAGAGUGCGGUAGGGGAGAUUGGAAUUCCCGGUGUAGCGGUGAAAUGCGCAGAUAUCGGGAGGAACGACCGGUGGCGAAGGCGGUU
rnacentral:rRNA from 1 species